GCCCCAGUAAACGGCGGCCGUAACUAUAACGGUCCUAAGGUAGCGAAAUUCCUUGUCGGGUAAGUUCCGACCUGCACGAAUGGCGUAACGAUGGCGGCGCUGUCUCCACCCGAGACUCAGUGAAAUUGAAAUCGCUGUGAAGAUGCAGUGUAUCCGCGGCUAGACGGAAAGACCCCGUGAACCUUUACUAUAGCUUUGCACUGGACUUUGAAUUUGCUUGUGUAGGAUAGGUGGGAGGCUUUGAAGCGUGGACGCCAGUUCGCGUGGAGCCAACCUUGAAAUACCACCCUGGCAACUUUGAGGUUCUAACUCAGGUCCGUUAUCCGGAUCGAGGACAGUGUAUGGUGGGUAGUUUGACUGGGGCGGUCUCCUCCUAAAGAGUAACGGAGGAGUACGAAGGUGCGCUCAGACCGGUCGGAAAUCGGUCGUAGAGUAUAAAGGCAAAAGCGCGCUUGACUGCGAGACAGACACGUCGAGCAGGUACGAAAGUAGGUCUUAGUGAUCCGGUGGUUCUGUAUGGAAGGGCCAUCGCUCAACGGAUAAAAGGUACUCCGGGGAUAACAGGCUGAUACCGCCCAAGAGUUCAUAUCGACGGCGGUGUUUGGCACCUCGAUGUCGGCUCAUCACAUCCUGGGGCUGAAGCCGGUCCCAAGGGUAUGGCUGUUCGCCAUUUAAAGUGGUACGCGAGCUGGGUUUAGAACGUCGUGAGACAGUUCGGUCUCUAUCUACUGUGGGCGUUAGAAAUUUGAGUGGAUCUGACUCUAGUACGAGAGGACCGAGUUGGACAAACCUCUAGUGUAUCUGUUGUCCCGCCAGGGGCACCGCAGAGUAGCUACGUUUGGAAGGGAUAAGCGCUGAAAGCAUAUAAGCGCGAAACCCACCACAAGAUGAGAUUUCUUUUAAAGGUCGUGGAAGAUGACCACGUUGAUAGGCUAUAGAUGUAAAGGCAGUAAUGUCAUAGUCGAGUAGUACUAAUAACCUGUAAGCUUAUGUAC
rnacentral:rRNA from 1 species